rnacentral:rRNA from 1 species
UACAGAGGGUGCAAGCGUUGUUCGGAAUUAUUGGGCGUAAAGCGCGUGUAGGCGGCUUUGCAAGUCGGGUGUGAAAGCCCUCAGCUUAACUGAGGAAGUGCGCCCGAAACUGCAGAGCUUGAGUACCGGAGAGGAUGGUGGAAUUCCCCAAGUAGGGGUGAAAUUCGUAGAUAUGGGGAGGAACACCGGUGGCGAAGGCGACCAUCUGGACGGAUACUGACGCUGAGACGCGAAAGCGUGGGUAGCAAACAGG